AGUUUGAUCAGUGGCUACGAGGACGAACGCUGGCGGCGUGCUUAACACAUGCAAGUCGAACGAGGUCCACCGCGUAGCAAUACAAGGGAAGACCUAGUGGCGAACGGGUGCGUAACACGUGAGGAACUUGUCCCGGUCUCUGGGAUAACAGUUGGAAACGACUGCUAAUGCCGGAUGACGUCGGAAUCUCGCAUGGGAUACUGACGAAAGGGUUACUGGAUCGGGAGAGCCUCGCGGCCUAUCAGCUUGUUGGUGAGGUAACGGCUCACCAAGGCAUCGACGGGUAGCUGGUCUGAGAGGAUGAUCAGCCACACUGGGACUGAGACACGGCCCAGACUCCUACGGGAGGCAGCAGUGGGGAAUCUUGCGCAAUGGGCGAAAGCCUGACGCAGCAACGCCGCGUGCGGGAAGAAGGCCCUCGGGUUGUAAACCGCUUUCAGAAGGAACGAAAAUGACGGUACUUUCAGAAGAAGGUGCGGCCAACUACGUG
rnacentral:rRNA from 1 species